AUUGAACGCUGGCGGCAUGCCUUACACAUGCAAGUCGAACGGCAGCACGGGAGCAAUCCUGGUGGCGAGUGGCGAACGGGUGAGUAAAGUAUCGGAACGUGCCCAGUCGUGGGGGAUAACGUAGCGAAAGUUACGCUAAUACCGCAUACGACCUAUGGAUGAAAGCGGGGGAUCGCAAGACCUCGCGCGAUUGGAGCGGCCGAUAUCAGAUUAGGCAGUUGGUGGGGUAAAGGCUCACCAAGCCGACGAUCUGUAGCUGGUCUGAGAGGACGACCAGCCACACUGGGACUGAGACACGGCCCAGACUCCUACGGGAGGCAGCAGUGGGGAAUUUUGGACAAUGGGCGAAAGCCUGAUCCAGCCAUGCCGCGUGCAGGAUGAAGGCCUUUGGGUUGUAAACUGCUUUUGUACGGAACGAAAAGGUUUGGCCUAAUAAGCUGAGCUCAUGACGGUACCGUAAGAAUAAGCACCGGCUAACUACGUGCCAGCCGCCGCCGUAA
rnacentral:rRNA from 1 species